rnacentral:tRNA from 1 species
UGCGGGAUUGCCAGAGCGGUCAAAUGGGACAGACUCAAAAUCUGUUGGCUCAGUGCCUACAAAGGUUCGAAUCCUUUAUCCCGCAU